GACGAACGCUGGCGGCGUGCCUAAUACAUGCAAGUAGAACGCUGAAGGAGGAGCUUGCUCUUCUGGAUGAGUUGCGAACGGGUGAGUAACGCGUAGGUAACCUGCCUGGUAGCGGGGGAUAACUAUUGGAAACGAUAGCUAAUACCGCAUAACAGUAGAUGUUGCAUGACAUUUGCUUAAAAGGUGCAAUUGCACCACUACCAGAUGGACCUGCGUUGUAUUAGCUAGUUGGUGGGGUAACGGCUCACCAAGGCGACGAUACAUAGCCGACCUGAGAGGGGGAUCGGCCACAAUGGGAAUGAGACACGGCCCAGACCCCUACGGGAGGCAGCAGGAGGGAAUCUUCGGCAAUGGACGGAAGUCUGACCGAGCAACGCCGCGGGAGUGAAGAAGGUUUUCGGAUCGUAAAGCUCUGUUGUAAGAGAAGAACGAGUGUGAGAGUGGAAAGUUCACACUGUGACGGUAUCUUACCAGAAAGGGACGGCUAACUACGUG
rnacentral:rRNA from 1 species